ACUACAUGGACAUCACCCUUUCCUAGCAUUGCAGCCUGGGCUCUCUUCUCCUGGAUAUCUUGUUUUUACCUUUUGCUUUCUUUAAGACACCUACUGUGUACUUGAGGAUGAUCUUGAACUCCCGAUUCUUCUGCCUGUGCCUCCAAGUGCUGAAAUCACAGGCAUGUACCACCAUGCCUGGCUUCUUCCUGCUCUCUCUUGCUUUUUAAGGUUCAUUUUUACUUUGUUUUGUGUGGGGCUGUGUGGAUGAGUCCAAGUGGAUAUGUGGAGGUCAGAGGACAGUUUGCAGGCCUCGCCUCCCACCAAGUGGUUUGUGGGAUUGAACACAGGCCUCCAGGUUUGGUGACUGGUGCCUUUACCUGCUGGGUCAUUUCUCGGCUCUCUUUCUAGUCUUUUGAAUCUGUGCCAGCUGGAAGUGAAAAUUGCUGCCCCAUCAUCAUUCGACCUUUUAAACUCUGAGUGAGGUGGAGUAUAUUUUCGUAUAUCUAUUUCCUGUUUUUUUGUUCCUUUUCCUGAACUCUCUGGAUCUUUUGUAUAUUUUCCUGUAGUGUGAUCUUCCCGUUAUUGGUUCCUCCGACUCACUUUUAUAUUAUAGAAAUCAUCCAUUUCUUUUCUGUGAUGGUAAUUAUUAUUUUAUCCAAUUAGUUGAAACCCAAACAUCUUGUGAGACAUGUUUUAAAGAGUAUCAUGGGAAGAGCCAUGUUCAGACCUGCUCUUUGACCCUCCCACAUAGGAAACUGGACGGGAGCACCUGCUGGAUUUCCGCCUGCUUGCAACAGCACAGGCUGUUAUGUUCUUAGAUGACUUUACUCACGGAGGGUUUCUCAGCGGCAGCCAUGUCAGAUCCACAGUGAGCCCAAGAAACCUUCCCAAAGAUUCUUUGGUUUUUAUUUUGUGUUGUGUUCUUUUCGCACAGUUGGAUCUUGUCAUUACUGCUCAUCUGACCAAAAUAGUUGGCUUCCAAACUGGAGAGAUGGAUCAGCAGUUAACAGCACUGGCUGCUCUUGCAGAGGACCUAGGUUCAGCUCCCAGCCCCCGCAGAGUGUCCCAGAGCUCUCUGCAACUCCAUCUGCAGGGGCUCCAAAGCCCUCUUCUGGCCUACGUGGGUAUCAGACAAGCAUGUGAUAGGCAGACAUACAUGUAGGUAAAACAAUCAUAACCAUAAAAUAAAAUGAAAUACAUCUUCUUAAAAGGGUAGUUGACGCCAGAGAUUCAUGUAUUUGGUUAUAGGGAAUUACGUUCAGCAGUUUUUACAUGAUGCGCCUUAAUCAUUUAUCCCGGUUAACUGGAUGUGCUGGCUCUCUGCCUGGUACAAAGAUUAAAGAUUAGUAACUGGAUGUACAAGGUACAUUCCCGCCAGUUCAGCUAUGUCACAUAAUUUAGCUUUCUCCUCUCCUCCAAGUGCUGCCCUCGCUCCUCAGGCCCAAAUGUGAUGCAGUUCUUUCUUGCUAAGUAUAUUGACUACUCAACAGACACAAACAGGAGGAAAAGGCCUUUGAUAGUUUUGAUACCCUGGAGUUAUAUUUGCGAGAAAACUACAACACAUUGUUUCCGAUAAUAAAGCAUUUUUAUAUGUUGCCUUGAGAGAAUGAUAUUUCCUCAGACUUUGGUUUCAUUUAUGCCCGUGAUCCCUAAGAGUGCAAAUACGGUAAUUAUAUACACAUAUGCCAAACAUAGCCAAGACAUGGGAAGCAGAGAAACAAACACAACCAAGAAUAUAAUACAAAGGAUGACAUCAACAACACAACAGAGCUAGGCAGAGGUAGGUUAAGUCUUUUUAAGCCAACGAAUUAUCUCAGGCCUUUAAAGGUGGGCUACCCAAGCAUAAAUGUAUAUUAAAGCAAAAAAAAAAUAAUUGUGAUAUUUGUUUUUUAUAUUUUGUCUUGAGAUAGGGCCUCAAACUCACUACAAAGCCUUUGAAAUCCCACUCCUUCUGCCUUCCACCUCCCACGUGCUAGAAUUAUAGGUGUGGAACACAAUGCCCGGAUCAUGUGCUGUGUUUGUAGAAGGAGACAGAAACGUCAGUUUACAGCUGUUGCAGCUGUUAUGUAAUACAGAAACACUAAUCUUGUUCCACUCUUCGUGUUCUUUCCUUCUGCACAUUUCCCCCGGAGAAGACGCUCAGUGGACUAGAAACACCACCCCCACUCCCAGAAAUGAUUUGCAUCAUUACUGGAGAAAACUAUUCAAACCAGCCUCUACACGCGCAGGAUCGGAAAGUCAACAGAAAAUCAGUGUUACAGCUCCAGAGGGAACGGUCUCCUGACGUCAGGAAGUCAGGCUCUACCUGCAAAUGUCCCGGCUCUGGAGAAAAAGGUACCACAAUCUGGCUAAGGAAUGACAAGGAACUGCCUGCUUCUUGCUACUUUAGUCUCUAGAGAUGCACAGCUCAGCAGCUCAAACAAGAACCCAACGAGUGUCUCUUCGUAUAUUCGAGCCCCCUGGAGGAACUUCUAACAACAGCUGUUAACAUGAGUGCUUUAAGUCUCCAGGAUCCAGACCACUUCCAAAUCAGAUGCUCUGCCUGCUCAGGGCAGUAAGCUAGGAGUCCAUUUUCCCACUCCCACACCGGGAUA